AAUAGCAGUAGACGAAAUAAUAUGGAUUUGAUGUUUUAUGGGUAUAUGCGAGCAUGAGGGAAAUUAAAGACAUUCCAUCUCCCAAAGCAUGGCUAAAUCUUAAUUACGACACAAGCUAAUUUGGUUUUUAACGUUUAAACACAACUUCUGCCUAACUUUUUACAUAUAUUGAAAAAUAAAAAAUAAAAAACAGAAACAUGAAUUUUAGUAGAAAGCAUCUCAAAGUAGAAAGCAUCUCAUCGUUGAUAAAAAUAGAAAGC
rnacentral:lncRNA from 1 species